AACGUAGGUACCGAGCGUUAUCCGGAUUUACUGGGCGUAAAGCGCGUUCAGGCGGUUUGGCAAGUCGGGCAUGAAAUCUCCCGGCUCAACCGGGAGAGGUUGUCCGAUACUGCUGGACUGGAGGGCAGUAGAGGGUGGUGGAAUUCCGGGUGUAGUGGUGAAAUGCUUAGAUAUGUCAUAGAACACCGAUUGCGAAGGCAGCUCACAAAGCCAUUAUUGACGCUGAGGCACGAAAGCGUGGGGAUCAAACAGG
rnacentral:rRNA from 1 species